UUUCUUCAAACGGUUACCGUACUGUCUACCAAGACACCAAAACACCUUUUAGCGAUGAAUUGACCUUAGCAUUUAGG
rnacentral:tRNA from 1 species